GGGGGUGACACGGAUUCGACUGGAGUGUGGAUCCAUUAGCGGCAUGCAGAGGUUAGCCGGGAGGCCUCUUAAAACACCUGGCAUUUAUAACUGCCAAAAACAUAACUAAUGUGAGCUCGGUUAUGGAACAGAAGGUGAUUCAGUUCGCCCCUGUCCAGAUGCCGGCUUUGGCAUUGGCUGCCUAAGUGCGGUCACGUUCUUUUCAUUUUGCCUGUGAGGUGAAAAAGGGCGUAAAUUAGCAGGCUGGUUCUCCGGAGUGUCUGCGGCCGGAGGAUGAGAUUUUAGCGGGCUGGUUCUUGUAAGAUCCCGUUUACCGGAGCUUACCGGAACAAGAUCCAAUAGGUAAAAUAAGCAUGUAGAAGCUUCUGAAGAAAGACUCUAGGACGCGGGUUCGAUUCCCGCCACCUCCACCA
rnacentral:tmRNA from 1 species